rnacentral:rRNA from 1 species
CCUACGGGAGGCAGCAGUGGGGAAUAUUGGGCAAUGGGCGCAAGCCUGACCCAGCAACGCCGCGUGAAGGAAGAAGGCUUUCGGGUUGUAAACUUCUUUUGACAGGGACGAAGCAAGUGACGGUACCUGCCGAAUAAGCCACGGCUAACUACGUGCCAGCAGCCGCGGUAAUCCGUAGGUGGCAAGCGUUAGCCGGAUUUACUGGGUGUAAAGGGCGUGUAGGCGGGUCUGCAAGUCAGAUGUGAAAACCACGGGCUCAACCUGUGGACUGCAGUUGAAACUGUAGGUCUUGAGUACUGGAGAGGCAGACGGAAUUCCUAGUGUAGCGGUGAAAUGCGUAGAUAUUAGGAGGAACACCAGUGGCGAAGGCGGGCGGCUGGACAGCAACUGACGCUGAGGCGCGAAAGCGUGGGGAGCAAACAGGAUUAGAUACCCGAGUAGUC